rnacentral:rRNA from 1 species
AGAACGAACGCUGGCGGCAUGCCUAACACAUGCAAGUCGAACGAGACCUUCGGGUCUAGUGGCGCACGGGUGCGUAACGCGUGGGAAUCUGCCCUUGGGUACGGAAUAACAGUGAGAAAUUACUGCUAAUACCGUAUGAUGUCUUCGGACCAAAGAUUUAUCGCCCAGGGAUGAGCCCGCGUUGGAUUAGCUAGUUGGUGGGGUAAAGGCCUACCAAGGCGACGAUCCAUAGCUGGUCUGAGAGGAUGAUCAGCCACACUGGGACUGAGACACGGCCCAGACUCCUACGGGAGGCAGCAGUGGGGAAUAUUGGACAAUGGGUGAAAGCCUGAUCCAGCAAUGCCGCGUGAGUGAAGAAGGCCUUAGGGUUGUAAAGCUCUUUUACCCGGGAAGAUAAUGACUGUACCGGAGAAUAAGCCCCGGCUAACUCCGCGCCAGCAGCCGC